GAUGAACGCUGGCGGCGUGCCUAAUACAUGCAAGUCGAACGAACAGACGAUGCGCUUGCUCCUCGGACGUUAGCGGCAGAGGGGUGUGUAACGCGUGGAUAACCUACCUGUCAGACUGAUAUAACUUCGGGAAAGCGGAUCUAAUACCGGAUAAUAUCUUGAACCGCAUGGGUGAAUGGUGAAAUACGGUUUUGGUGUCUCGUAUCGAUGGAUCUGAGCCGCAUUAGCUAGUUGGUAAGGUCACGGCUUACCAAGGCAACGAUGCGUAGCCGACCGGAGAGGCGGGUCGGCCACACUGGAACUGAGACACGCACCAGACUCCUACGGUAGGCAGCAGUAUGGAAUCUUACGCAAUGGGGGAAAGCCUGACGGAGCGACGCGGCGUGAGAGAUGAAGGUCCUGCGAUCGUAAAACUCUGUUAUUAGGUAAGAACAAAUGUGUAAGUAACUAUGCACUUCUUGACGGUAACUAGUCAGAAAGCCACGGCUAACUACGUG
rnacentral:rRNA from 1 species